rnacentral:rRNA from 1 species
UACUGGGCAGCUCUUCGGAAAACGUCUGUGACCUAGCACCAGACCCCGGGGCGCGUCCUACAGCGUAGGCUGGCGCAGUACCGGUGGCACGAGCUGCGGCUCUUCGGACUAAAGCACCACAUGGAGCCGCUGGAGCACUGUCGGUUGUUGCACGGCUAGGGGUUGCGGUGGGACAUGACCCUGUACCGCUAAAGAGUAAGGGCCGCGUCCCCGUAGGGCACCAGGUGGCACAAGCCGUUGGUGCUGCUGUACGGGAAGCUCACCGGCGGACUCACCAAGAGGUGCCGGCCGUAGGGCGGCCACGUGACGGGCGGACGCCGCAGGUACGGUUGGAGUCUCACGUCGAAGUCUCCCUGCGGCGCCUAGCUGGACUACUGCCGACUUUACUUGGCGCUGCCACGGCUGCCCAAUAGCGCGAGCAGCCAGCCGGGGGUCCUCGAGACCGGGCCGUAGAGGUUGAUGCACGACGCCCACGAGAGCGUACUCUUCGUUGGUCUGGGACGAGACGAGUACAUAAAGGAGCUGAGGCCGCCACCUAGCAUGGGCCUUCAGUAUAGGAGACGUGUCCAGGCCACCAAGACGAUGGUCAGAGUCAGGGAGUUAGGUCUACCGUCCUAAGGUCUCUAGUAGAAGACCGUGUAUGGCUCGUGUCGUAUGCAGUUCCACCGAGGUUUCCGGUUCUGACUCUAUUGUUUCGGGACGCAACCGAGGGACUUACUCCUUCUACACCGCGGUGUCCAUCGGCUUACCCCGUACUACCUGCGAGAACGGUUCUCUAGAAGUCAAUUCCGCUAGAAGCACCCCGUGUUGGUGCCCGACCUGACCACGACGGGCAUGCUCUUUGACACCAACACAAAGCGCGCCGUGUGCCCAGUGCCGCCUAUACCACUGACCGGUUCUCCCCGUUCCUAGCAACUCUAACGGCUCUUCGGAAAGAGACAGGCGAGGACCUAUGCCUACCUCUUGCCCUCGUGCGUGUCGGUAUAAUGUAACAGAACUCGAAAAUA